UUAUCCUUCUGUCGUCUCAGUGAAAACGGGAAAAUGGAAUUAAAAGUGGACCAUAGUUAUUAUUAUCAAGUUCAAGGACAGAUGCAAAUUUCAAAACGAAAUUUCUGUUAUUUUGUCGUUUAUUCGCCGAAUUGGAUGGAAAUACAAAUAAUUAAAUUCGAUGAUUCUUUUUGGCACGAGAAUAUGAUUGAAUAGUUAAAAGUUUUUUAUACAGAAUGCUUACUUCCAGAAAUAGUAAAUCCCCAAUAUGAAAGAGGCUGUUGGUAGAUGACAUUUUAGAUCCUCAACAUAUUUUGGAAAAUAUAAAAUCAAAAACCUGCACAAAGACUGCAAAAACAAAAUUAUAGAAAUGAAAAAAAAAAUUAAAACUUUCUAUAAAUGUCGAUUAAAAUUAGUAAACAUUGAUAGGCCGUGCCUAAUUUAUAUAAUAUGUAGUAAUUAUGAUAAUUACCUACUAUAUCAAUAAAAAAAUAAAUAAUCUGUUA